UACGGAGGGUGCAAGCGUUAAUCGGAAUUACUGGGCGUAAAGCGUGCGCAGGUGGCGAUGCAAGACAGAUGUGAAAUCCCCGAGCUCAACCUGAUAACUGCAUUUGAGACUACAUGGCUAGAGUACGGUAGAGGGGGAUGGAAUUCCGCGUGUAGCAGUGAAAUGCGUAGAUAUGCGGAGGAACACCGAUGGCGAAGGCAAUCCCCUGGGCCUGUACUGACGCUCAUGCACGAAAGCGUGGGGAGCAAACAGG
rnacentral:rRNA from 1 species